GACGAACGCUGGCGGCGUGCUUAACACAUGCAAGUCGAACGCUGAAGCUUGGUGCUUGCACUGGGUGGAUGAGGGGCGCACGGGUGAGUAAUAAGUGAGUAACCUGCCCUUGACUCUGGGAUAAGCCUGGGAAACGGGGUCUAAUACUGGAUACGACAUGUCACCGCAUGGUGGUGUGUGGAAAGGGUUUUCCUGGUUUUGGAUGGGCUCACGGCCUAUCAGCUUGUUGGUGGGGUAGUUGCUCACCAAGUCGACGACGGGUAGCCGGCCUGAGAGGGUGACCGGCCACACUGGGACUGAGAUACGGCCCAGACUCCUACGGGAGGCAGCAGUGGGGAAUAUUGCACAAUGGGCGGAAGCCUGAUGCAGCGACGCCGCGUGAGGGAUGACGGCCUUCGGGUUGUAAACCUCUUUCAGCACGGAAGAAGCGAAAGUGACGGUACUUGGAGAAGAAGCGCCGGCUAACUACGUG
rnacentral:rRNA from 1 species